AGUGAACGCUGGCGGUAGGCCUAACACAUGCAAGUCGAACGGCAGCACAGUAAGAGCUUGCUCUUACGGGUGGCGAGUGGCGGACGGGUGAGGAAUGCAUCGGAAUCUACUUUUUCGUGGGGGAUAACGUAGGGAAACUUACGCUAAUACCGCAUACGACCUACGGGUGAAAGCAGGGGAUCUUCGGACCUUGCGCGAUUGAAUGAGCCGAUGUCGGAUUAGCUAGUUGGCGGGGUAAAGGCCCACCAAGGCGACGAUCCGUAGCUGGUCUGAGAGGAUGAUCAGCCACACUGGAACUGAGACACGGUCCCGACUCCUACGGGAGGCAGCAGUGGGGAAUAUUGGACAAUGGGCGCAAGCCUGAUCCAGCCAUACCGCGCGGGUGAAGAAGGCCUUCGGGUUGUAAAGCCCUUUUGUUGGGAAAGAAAAGCAGCAGGUUAAUACCCCGCUGUUCUGACGGUACCCAAAGAAUAAGCACCGGCUAACUUCGUG
rnacentral:rRNA from 1 species